rnacentral:rRNA from 1 species
CAGUCGCCGCGGGAAUACGGGGGGGGCUAGCGUUGUUCGGAAUUACUGGGCGUAAAGCGCACGUAGGCGGCUUGGUAAGUUAGAGGUGAAAGCCCAGGGCUCAACCCUGGAAUUGCCUUUAAGACUGCAUCGCUUGAACGUCGGAGAGGUGAGUGGAAUUCCGAGUGUAGAGGUGAAAUUCGUAGAUAUUCGGAAGAACACCAGUGGCGAAGGCGGCUCACUGGACGACUGUUGACGCUGAGGUACGAAAGCGUGGGGAGCAAACAGGAUUAGAUACCCCGGUAGUCCCUGUCUCUUAUAC